CUCGUAGGUGGUUUGUCGCGUCGUCUGUGAAAUUCCGGGGGCUUAACUCCGGGCGUGCAGGCGAUACGGGCAUAACUUGAGUACUGUAGGGGUAACUGGAAUUCCUGGUGUAGCGGUGAAAUGCGCAGAUAUCAGGAGGAACACCGAUGGUGAAGGCAGGUUACUGGGCAGUUACUGACGCUGAGGAGCGAAAGCAUGGGUAGCGAAUA
rnacentral:rRNA from 1 species